rnacentral:rRNA from 1 species
CCUACGGGAGGCUGCAGUGGGGAAUAUUGGACAAUGGGCGAAAGCCUGAUCCAGCCAUGCCGCGUGUGUGAAGAAGGCCUUCGGGUUGUAAAGCACUUUCAGUGGGGAAGAAAGCCUUGGGGCUAAUACCCUCGAGGAAGGACAUCACCCACAGAAGAAGCACCGGCUAACUCCGUGCCAGCAGCCGCGGUAAUACGGAGGGUGCGAGCGUUAAUCGGAAUUACUGGGCGUAAAGCGCGCGUAGGCGGUCUGAUAAGCCGGUUGUGAAAGCCCCGGGCUCAACCUGGGAACGGCAUCCGGAACUGUCAGGCUAGAGUGCAGGAGAGGAAGGUAGAAUUCCCGGUGUAGCAGUGAAAUGCGUAGAGAUCGGGAGGAAUACCAGUGGCGAAGACGGCCUUCUGGACUGACACUGACGCUGAGGUGCGAAAGCGUGGGUAGCAAACAGGAUUAGAUACCCGUGUAGUC